GUCUAUAUACGUAUAGCAUAUCAAUAAGCGGAGGAAAAGAAACUAACAAGGAUUCCCUUAGUAACGGCGUAGUGAAGCGGGAAGAGCUCAAAUUUGAAAUCUUCAAGGUUCUACCUUGACGAAUUGUAGUUUAAAGAAGUGUUUUCUGUUAGAGGAGUAGGCAAAAGUUCCUUGGAAUAGGGACAUCAUAGAGGGUGAGAAUCCCGUAUUUGGUUCAUUCUUUCUAGCUGUGUGAUACACUUUCAAAGAGUCGGAUUGUUUGGGAAUGCAGUCCAAAAUGGGUGGUAAAUUUCAUCUAAAGCUAAAUAUUGGCGAGAGACCGAUAGCGAACAAGUACCGUGAGGGAAAGAUGAAAAGAACUUUGAAAAGAGAGUUAAACAGUACGUGAAAUUGUCAAAAGGGAAGCGUUUGACACCAGUGUUGUUUUUCCGAAAAUCAAUUAGUGCUGGCUGGAUUUUGUAGUUGUAGUUGACCUUAUCAGCUUUCUUCCUGCUUUUUUCGAGUCUGGUGCUUAAUGCACUUUUCGGUUAACAAGUCAACAUCAAUUUCUUUUGUUGUAAAAGGGUAUUUGGAAGGUGGCUUUCUUUUCGGAGAAAGUGUUUAUAGCCUUAUACCUCUACAAUCGGAGAGAUUGAGGUCUGCAGCGUAGAUCCUUCGGGGCUAGAUACACUUGUGCUAAGUUAUAGCUUUUCAUAGACAACUUGUUGACUAUGUUUAGUCAUGUAGCUUACCCGCUUGUGCUAUUUUACCUACGCUUAGGAUGUUGAGUCAUCACACAUCUCU
rnacentral:rRNA from 1 species